rnacentral:rRNA from 1 species
GAUGAACGCUAGCGGCAGGCCUAAUACAUGCAAGUCGAACGGUGUCUUCGGACAUAGUGGCGCACGGGUGCGUAACACGUAUGCAACCUACCUUACAUUGGGGGAUAGCCUUUCGAAAGGGAGAUUAAUACCGCAUAAGACAGUAGUCUGGCAUCAGACAGCUGUUAAAGAUUUAUCGAUGUAAGCUGGGCAUGCGUCCAAUUAGUUAGUUGGCGAGGUAACGGCUCACCAAGACUAUGAUUGGUAGGGGAACUGAGAGGUCAAUCCCCCACACUGGCACUGGGAUACGGGCCAGACUCCUACGGGAGGCAGCAGUAGGGAAUAUUGGGCAAUGGACGCAAGUCUGACCCAGCCAUGCCGCGUGCAGGAAGAAGGCGUUAUGCGUUGUAAACUGCUUUUAUACAGGAAGAAACGACUCUUGCGAGAGGCAUUGACGGUACUGUAUGAAUAAGCACCGGCUAACUCCGUGCCAGCCGCCGCCGUAAGAC